GAAAUUUAUCUUCGGUUGAAUGACCAAGGCAAAGUUUACAAGGAAGAAACACAAAAGUUGCAGUGGUUCUGAUUCAGAAGAAAACCCCUUUGCCCCCAGUUAUUUUAUUUCUCAUUCAUCUUGAUGGGGAUUAUCAACAGGAGAAGAUGUCAUUGCUUCAGAAAGGGCUGCAGCUUUAUGCAAUGCAUGUGAACUCUCAGGAAAGUCUUUGUUUGUACUGCCGCACACUGACCACCUUGUGGGUUAUAUUAUAAGAUUGGAAAAUGCCUUUUAUGAACAUGCACAGACUUAUUACUACACUGAGAUCAGAAGAGUGAAAUCUCAUAAAGAAUUUUUGAAUAAAACAACACACCAGGUGCGUGAUUUUUUGCAAUAAUAGAAGCAUUCUGGAGCGGAUUAUUAUUAUUUUUGAGCUUUUAUUUGUUAGGCAUCAGUUCAAAAUAGCUUUCUUCAGUGAGUUGAAACAAGAUACACAAAAUGCGCUGAAGAAUUAUAGGACCGCCUAUAAUCUUGUACACGAAUUGAGAGCCCAUGAAACUAAUAUUCUGGAAAUUAAGACUAUGGCAGG
rnacentral:lncRNA from 1 species